rnacentral:rRNA from 1 species
GUGUCAGCCGCCGCGGUAAUACGGAGGAUCCGAGCGUUAUCCGGAUUUAUUGGGUUUAAAGGGUGCGUAGGCGGCUUAUUAAGUCAGGGGUGAAAUACGGCAGCUCAACUGUCGCAGUGCCUUUGAUACUGAUAAGCUUGAAUGUGGUUGAAGAUGGCGGAAUGAGACAAGUAGCGGUGAAAUGCAUAGAUAUGUCUCAGAACUCCGAUUGCGAAGGCAGCUAUCUAAGCCAUUAUUGACGCUGAUGCACGAAAGCGUGGGGAUCAAACAGGAUUAGAUACCCCGGUAGUCC